UGGGGGGGGGGGGCUAGGAUGAAAAAUUUUGUCCUGCAUUUUUUUUUAGCUGUAAUCUCUGUCCUGCCUUUUUAUUUUUCACUCUGUUCGGUCCUGCUUUUUUUUUUAGUUUAUCCUGACUUUUUUUUUACCUAAAUUGUCGUCCUGACUUUUUUUUUUUUGCAAAUGUCUCAUCCUGCUUUUUUUUUACUCAAAACUCCUGUCCUGCCUAUUUUUUUCAAAUUUCAUCCUAGCCCCCCCCCCCAUAAAAAUCAAAUGGUAGCUCCCUUACUGUCUAGUAAAUAAGGAACUUGGCACAAAGUAAAUAGUCUACAUCAGAGUCCUGAAAACCAAAAUACAAUAAUAAGAACGGACUCUUCGUAAUUAUAU
rnacentral:lncRNA from 1 species